rnacentral:sRNA from 1 species
GCCAGGUGUGGUGAUGCACUCCUGUAAUGCCAGCAACUUGGGAGGCUGAAGCAGGAGGAUUGUAAAUUUGAGGCUAGCCUCAGCAACUAGGUGAGACCCUACUCAACUUAGUGAGACCCUGUCUCAA